UGCAGAAUGCGACAUUUUCGACUAGUACUCGCACAAUAUUAUUGUUCUUUGGUUUUUCGUUUGUUUUCAGAUGCCGUAAGAAAACAUUACUGGAUUCCUUUUGAAAGACAAAACUAGAUAAAAUUGUAUAUUUUUAAAUAUUACCACUAUAUAUUUCAGACUAUUGUUCGAUUGAUGGUAAAAACAUGUUUAUUGAUCAUUGAGCAGACGUAAGGGAAGAAUCCUAGCAGACGACAGUUGUCUCGCAGAUGCAAUCAUGCACCAUAUCAGACUGGCUGGCCUAGCUCUAUACUGGACUCGCUUUCAGCAGAUUAGGGUUUUGAAAAAGGAAAUCAUAACCUUGUAAUUGUAUCCACAGGUAGCAGACGACAAUGAAUUUUAAAGUGGAAAUUUGCGACUUCCGGUGUGUCUGCUACUCGAUGUUAUGAUCUCAGUUAAUUCCCCUGACGUUCAGUAGAUGAAAUGAGGGCCGAGAAAACGGAAUAUGAUAAAUUGAGCAGGUGAAGGAAUGAAGAAAACACCACCCUCUUUACAGUCAGCAAAAUAACUAAGCUUCCGGUUUGGAACUACUGCAUGCCGUUACAACAUAUGUGACAAACAGAUUUUAAUCCACCUCAUACGAUUUGGUAUCUUUCUGAAAAUGUCAUGUUCAACUUCUGAAUGGUGUUUUUUUCUGCCAAGUUUAAGAAAUAUAUUACCAUGUAACUGUCUAAUAUUUAUGGCAAUUAUGAAGUAAUGACUUUUUUGGCGUAGUAAUAAAAACCAUAAAAGGUGUUAGCCCCAUUGGAUUUUCUACAUGAACUUAAAUAAAUAAGACCUUCAUAAAUGCCGUGAUGUGAACAGAUUAGAAGGGACAUUUUAUUUGCUUUUUACAUUGUACAUCUUCUAUUUACCAACACACUGUACCGUCAAUGUAUUGUAAUGACAAUAAUGAGUAUAAUUGCAAUAAUGAAUGAUGCACUUUUUGCAAUGUAUAUUUCAAGUGGUGUAAUAAGUAAAUUUUGAUCAGGAUUGUACAUUUAUUAAGACUUUAUAAAACAUACUGUACCGUUAACAUAAUGACAAUAGUAAAAUUGCUGAAAUGAAUGAUGCGCAUUUUUUACAAUGUAUAUUUCAAGAAGUGUAAUAAGUAACAUUUAAUAGUUAAUAAAGACAUACUCUAUAGGCCGUACAACGAGAAAUAAUGAUAAUUUAAAAACGUCAUGAUAGAAACAUCCAUUUAAAUUUUUUUGAUAUUUAGAUAAUAAUUACACCACCAAGAAUAUCACCACUACCACCGAAAUCAACAGUAAUGAAACAUAAUGAAAACUCCGAUUGACCGGACUCUAAACCUUUGGCUGACCAAUUUCAAAUGUGAUUUUAUUCAAGUUAUAUUCCCUAAAUUGAGAAUGAACGUAUUCAGAAAGGAAGCUGGACAGGUCCGCUUCCGAUAAUAUUAUCAACCAUAUACAUGAUAUAAUGUGUUCCUUUAUAUUUUGAAGUAUCAUUUGUUUUUCUUUUGAAUGCUUUAAAUAAGGAGUCACAAUGGGUUACUUUAUCAUUUUCAUUUCCAACCAUAUCCUCGUGCGUUUCAUCGCCGGAUAGCCACUGAUACUCAUUGCCUAACCAUUAACAUUUAUCUAAUCAACCGUGGGUAUCCGACGAUGCAUGCGUUUAUGCUUGUUUUGUUUUUUUUGUUGAUUUUUUUAUUAUUAUUGUUGUUGUUGUUUUCAAUUUUUAUAUGAUCUGACAAAAAGCUUAAUAAGGGGGUGGGGGCUAGCAUCAUUUAGCUUCUUUUGUUCGCUUUUGAUACGUUAUUCCAUUAAUUUUUUAACUUUACAUGCCUGUUUAAAUUUGUUAUAGUUUUUUUUAAUUAUUUAUUUAUUUUUUAUUUAUUUAUUUAUUUAUUUUUGUUUUGCAAAUUACAUCAAGCGAAAAGGGGGGCUACUUGUUUUAAAAUACAGAUUGAUCUCCCCUGAAAAUUUAAAUGAUAAGAACGGAUCAAAGGAGACUUCUCUUCAUUAAAACAAGUAUUUAUAAAUGAUAAAAAGUCAUUUCCCGUCAGUUUACUCUCCAUUACCACUUAUUUUUUUCUAACUGAUAACUCUCACACAUCUUUGGUACUAACAUUAACUUUUGGGGAAAAUGACUUUCAUAAUGCUACUGUAAAAGUUCCAACAAAUAUCAAUCAAAAGUAAUAACAUUUGGUUGUAAAAUUUAGCCGCAAAAGGCAUAAUGUUUAAUUAUCAAAGGGAGAGUAGUCGUCCUUUGGUCUUUGACGUCAUUUCAAUUUUCAGGGGAGGUUACACCGUUUUUUAAUUAUUAAAGGCAAGAGUCGUACUCCUUUGGUCAUUACAAGUUUUUACAAAUUAUUCUGCAAUAUCAAGAACAAUUUAAAGGAACACACUAUAGUCAAAAUUGGAUACUUCCUUUUACAAGUAUACAGAACUUGAAAUAUUUCAACCAAUUUUAUGGUAGAUUUAAUGAUUAAUGCUUUGAUUAGAAUCUUUUCACUUAGUACAUAUAAAAAUAUGAAAAUACU